CCCUUUUCUUUUUAGAUGGAAAUUCCUUCUUCCAGCAUUAUAAAUCAGUACAUUGCUUGUCAAGGGCCAUUACCACACACUUGUACAGAUUUUUGGCAGAUGACUUGGGAACAAGGCUCCUCUAUGGUUGUAAUGUUGACCACACAAGUUGAACGUGGCAGAGUUAAAUGUCACCAAUAUUGGCCAGAACCCACAGGCAGUUCAUCUUAUGGAUGCUACCAAGUUACCUGCCACUCUGAAGAAGGAAACACUGCCUAUAUCUUCAGGAAGAUGACACUAUUUAACCAAGAGAAAAAUGAAAGUCGUCCACUCACUCAGAUCCAGUACAUAGCCUGGCCUGACCAUGGAGUCCCUGAUGAUUCGAGUGACUUUCUAGAUUUUGUUUGUCAUGUACGAAACAAGAGGGCUGGCAAGGAAGAACCCGUUGUUGUCCAUUGCAGUGCUGGAAUCGGAAGAACUGGGGUUCUUAUUACCAU
rnacentral:sRNA from 1 species